CCAUAGGUAACAUUAUGGCAUUCCAUAGGUAACAUCCCAUAGGUAACAUUAUGGCCUUCCAUAGGUAACAUCCCAUAGGUAACAUUAUGGCCUUCCAUAGGUAACAUUAUGACCUUCCAUAGGUAACAUCCCAUAGGUAACAUUAUGGCCUUCCAUAGGUAACAUCCCAUAGGUAACAUUAUGGCCUUCCAUAGGUAACAUUAUGACCUUCCAUAGGUAACAUCCC